AACGAACGCUGGCGGCAUGCCUAACACAUGCAAGUCGAACGAGACCUUCGGGUCUAGUGGCGCACGGGUGCGUAACGCGUGGGAACCUGCCCUUAGGUUCGGAAUAACUCCCCGAAAGGGGUGCUAAUACCGGAUAAUGUCUUCGGACCAAAGAUUUAUCGCCUUUGGAUGGGCCCGCGUUGGAUUAGCUAGUUGGUAGGGUAAAAGCCUACCAAGGCGACGAUCCAUAGCUGGUCUGAGAGGAUGAUCAGCCACACUGGGACUGAGACACGGCCCAGACUCCUACGGGAGGCAGCAGUGGGGAAUAUUGGAAAAUGGGCGAAAGCCUGAUCCAGCAAUGCCGCGUGAGUGAUGAAGGCCUUAGGGUUGUAAAGCCCUUUUACCCGGGAUGAUAAUGACAGUACCGGGAGAAUAAGCUCCGGCUAACUCCGUG
rnacentral:rRNA from 1 species